AGGGGAACCUGCGGCUGGAUCACCUCCUUAAUAUAGAUAAAAAAGGUACGACGAACCAAAGCGCCCACACAGUUUGUUUUCAAAGACUAGGCAGCUUGCUCAUCAAGCUAUACUGGUCUUUUUUUUAUCCUGGGAUUUGUCAGAUGAAAGUGAUUUUUGAAAGAUUGUUUUCAUCUGGUUAAUCCGGACGUUCAUUAACAAUUUGGUAAAGAUAAAAGGGUAAACACAAGCGAAUUAGUAUUGUCUUUGUAGUAUGACCUUUAUUGAUUUUGGCGAUGGCUUUGAAUUGAGGCGACGAGAUUUGGGGUUAGCUGCUGAAGGCGAUUGAGGUUAUAUGGUCAAGAAGAG
rnacentral:misc_RNA from 1 species